AUUUGGCUAGCUCGGGUGGUAGAGUAUGGGACUCUUGAACUCAGGAUCGUGGGUUUGAGCCCCAUGCUGGGUG